rnacentral:rRNA from 1 species
GAUUUCUUUCGGGACUGACGUUUUGCAGACUGAGUGGCGGACGGGUGAGUAACGCGUGGGUAACCUGCCCUGUACAGGGGGAUAACAGUCAGAAAUGACUGCUAAUACCGCAUAAGACCACAGCACCGCAUGGUGCAGGGGUAAAAACUCCGGUGGUACAGGAUGGACCCGCGUCUGAUUAGCUGGUUGGUGAGGUAACGGCUCACCAAGGCGACGAUCAGUAGCCGGCUUGAGAGAGUGGACGGCCACAUUGGGACUGAGACACGGCCCAAACUCCUACGGGAGGCAGCAGUGGGGAAUAUUGCACAAUGGGGGAAACCCUGAUGCAGCGACGCCGCGUGAGUGAAGAAGUAUCUCGGUAUGUAAAGCUCUAUCAGCAGGGAAGAAAAUGACGGUACCUGACUAAGAAGCCCCGGCUAACUACGUGCCAGCAGCCGCGGUAAUACGUAGGGGGCAAGCGUUAUCCGGAAUUACUGGGUGUAAAGGGUGCGUAGGUGGUAUGGCAAGUCAGAAGUGAAAACCCAGGGCUUAACCCUGGGACUGCUUUUGAAACUGUCAGACUGGAGUGCAGGAGAGGUAAGCGGAAUUCCUAGUGUAGCGGUGAAAUGCGUAGAUAUUAGGAGGAACAUCAGUGGCGAAGCGGCUUACUGGACUGAAACUGACAC